rnacentral:lncRNA from 1 species
GGGGCCGCUGAUUGGCCCGCGUCGCGUGACGUCACGCGCGGGCUUUAAGGCGGCCGCCCGGGAGCGCCCCGCAGUGCCGGCGCGCUGCAGGCCGAGCUGGAGGCUGUCCUGGCGGCUCGGUCGUCCGGCCCGGAGCGGCGUGGGAUCACCCAGCCUCUACCGUGAGCCCCAAGACCUGCACUUCAGCCGGAGCUCACCAUGGGGAACCACUUGACCGAGAUGGCGCCCACUGCCUCCUCCUUCUUGCCCCACUUCCAGGCCCAUGUGCCGGCCUACAGCGCUGUGGACGGCUCGGCCUGCAGCCCGGCCUUGAGUGCCUGUAUGAGAUGAUCCUCAAGAGGAAGAAGACUGAAGGUCUUUUGCUUCACCCUGUGUAUGAGCCCAAGCAGUACUUCCAGGAUGCUGUCUUGGAAGCAGCAAGAAGGAGCAAGGACACCCACUCCCAUUCUAGUAUGUUGGAGACACACCCCCUGAGAAGGCUGUAGGGGAACCAUGUCCUCCACAGAGAGGCCACGUUUGCACAACAACAUGAAGAGCAUUCAGAGAUUAGAG